AGCCUGAUGCAGCGACCCGCGUGAGGGAUGAAGGCCUUCGGGUUGUAAACCUCUUUCAGUAGGGAAGAAGGAAAGUGACGGUACCUGCAGAAGAAGCGCCGGCUAACUACGUGCCAGCAGCCGCGGUAAUACGUAGGGCGCAAGCGUUAUCCGGAAUUAUUGGGCGUAAAGAGCUCGUAGGCGGUUUGUCGCGUCUGCCGUGAAAGUCCGGGGCUUAACUCCGGAUCUGCGGUGGGUACGGGCAGACUUGAGUGAUGUAGGGGAGACUGGAAUUCCUGGUGUAGCGGUGAAAUGCGCAGAUAUCAGGAGGAACACCGAUGGCGAAGGCAGGUCUCUGGGCAUUAACUGACGCUGAGGAGCGAAAGCAUGGGGAGCGAACAGGAUUAGAUACCCUGGUAGUCCAUGCCGUAAACGUUGGGCACUAGGUGUGGGGGACAUUCCACGUUUUCCGCGCCGUAGCUAACGCAUUAAGUGCCCCGCCUGGGGAGUACCGGCCGCAA
rnacentral:rRNA from 1 species